rnacentral:lncRNA from 1 species
AUGUGUUUUUUGAGUUAUAUACCUCAGUUUUGUUUUCAUUCCAUCAUCAGGUCUAUUUUAUCUUCAAAAGAUAUUUUCGAAUGGAAAGAAGGAUUAAAAUUUUUGCCAAAUUUGGGACCAGGAAGAAAUUUCCACCGCAUUCCCAUGACUUGGAUUGUGGUGGAUCCUUUCACUUCCUCUGAAUCAACAAAGACGGGAUCAUCAGAUAAAAGAAGGGCCAGUUCAUUUUUUAAUAUGGGUUACCCGUUCAAGAGUUUAAGGUGAGAGUAUUAAAUGUUGAUUUCCUACAGCUCUUUUAAUGGUUUUUCUACUUUGGGAAUAUGUCUUGAUUUGAGAGGCAUGGGCUAUUAUAAUACUAAGCAGGUAAGUGUCAUAUAGUGACUUUAGGGAUGUGGGGAAGCCUCGUUAAUUUAAAAUAUAAAGCUCAGUUUGAAAGGCCUUGUUUUUAAAAUUAGCCCUAAAGUCUCUGAUUUAAAUAAACCAGGCAUAUGCAAAUAGUAUAAAUGAGUU